UACGUAGGUGGCAAGCGUUGUCCGGAUUUACUGGGCGUAAAGGGCGUGCAGGCGGUCUGUUAAGUGCAGGGUGAAAGCUCCCGGCUCAACUGGGAGAGGUCCUUGCAUACUGGCGGACUUGAGGGGGGUAGAGGAAGCGGAAUUCCCGGUGUAGUGGUGAUAUGCGUAGAUAUCGGGAGGAACACCUGUGGCGAAGGCGGCUUUCUGGGCCCUACCUGACGCUGAGACGCGAAAGCGUGGGGAGCGAACAGG
rnacentral:rRNA from 1 species